AGUCACAGCACAACUUUGAAGGUUACAGAAUACUCCAGAGAGACAAAAGACAUGGAAUAAAGGAUCCCAGCACCCAAAAAGAGAAGGCUUAGUGUCUGCAGCCAUAGCCCUCGGCAAUCAGACAUCCUCCUCCUUAAUGUGAGGUUAAGAGGGGACUAGAAGUGCUCAGAGGAGGGACUGCCUCUGGCUAGUGCAGGGGAGAGGCAGGGGUGUUGAGGCACAGGAGCCAGAUGAGAGGAACAUCCGCAGAAAAGCAGUGAGAAGAACAUGAGAGCUUCUUGAUAGCAAUAGAACUUCCUAGACAGACUGGGAAGCGGGAUUGUAGCUUGAGGGGAUAUGACAAUAUGUGGUGGCCCUGAAUUUUCACUUUGGAAUGAACUGCUUUGGACCAGGAAGAAGCGCUGAGCCUAGGAAGACAGGAGGCACAGGGCUGUGUGGGUUUUUGUCUGGCAGGGACCUAUGAGCUUCACAGGACAAAUGGAUCAGGGGGCAGGAUAAAGCAUACACCUCCACCCCCACAGUGCUCUCUUAGCCAUCUCAGGCUUCCCAGAGCCCUUCACACUCACAGGCCUUUCUGCGUGGGUUCCCUUCCGCAGGCUGCGUAAACCAGUCCUGUUGUAGACCUUGUAGCAUCUGCUGCAGUGAUCUGGUUUGGGUUUCAGUAAUACUUGCGAUGGUUUGGAAGGAAAUGGGAAGUUUGCCUUCUAACUACUUUUUCUUUUUGAUUCAAGAACCCUAGCAGUUCUAUAACCUUCUAGCCUAAAACCAAAAUAGAAGACAAAUAAAUAAAAGGAAGUAAAAACAUCCAAUGGGCAUGGCCUGGCAGCAUUGCCAGAGAGAGCCCUCAGGGGCCCAGGCUUGUUCUGUGUUUUGCUCUUCCAUUCCUAGGAUGGACAGCACGAAAGAGGCAGUACAUGCUAACAAAACCAGGGUUCUGGAAGAAGGGAGAGGUGGUGAAUGGUUGUUUCAAGCAAUCAACAGCUUAUACUUCAAUGGAAAGAGGGUCGGAUUUGAUUCCUGAUCACAAAUCUUCACUUCUGUCACCCACUAAUCUCUGUGCCUUCAGAGAUGGCAUCUUGCUACGUUGCCCAGGCUGAUCCUGAACUUCUGGACUCAAGUGAUCCUCCCACCUCAGCCUCUCAAAAUGCUGCGGUUGCAGGCACGAGUCACUGUGCCUAGCCUACCCCCCACUUUUAGAUGGGGGUUUCUCUUGGGGAAUAACCUACCUCCAUCUCAUUAUGGAUGUGAGAAGGAAGCAGUCUAUAACCUGGAAGAGGAGGACCCUCACCAGAACCUCACCAUGUCGCCACCCUGAUCUCAGGUUUCCAGCCUCCAGAAGCAUGAGAAGAACACGACUGUAAAGCCAAUGAGUGCAACAGCUUCUCCUGCAACUAUGUGGAUGCAAGAAGGAUAAAUGAUCAGUGAUAAAGGACUCAAUGCAAAGGAGAAUGAGUGGAAAUAAGGGCGUGGCUUUAAGGCCGCUGUGUAUCACCACGUGGGUUGUGUGUUGCACAAUUCUAGGAGGCCCAUCAUCAUAGACCGUGACAUGGUUAAGCUGUGGCCCUGGUCCCGCCUCUGGUCUGGUCUCUGAAAGGAAGAAAGUGAAGGGAAUGGCAGAAAGCUCUGAAUUCUGUGAAUUGUGAAUUCUCCCAAAUCUCUCUAGAAACCAAAUUGUUUCCAUAAUUCUUUAUGAGGAGGCUUUUGAAACUCAAAGGCUGAGAAUUGAUUUUAUCUUCUGUGUCAACCUUUCUCUAAGGCAACGAGUGAUGACUCACCUGGUUUGGACCAGGAGAGAAAUCCAGGCUGGAGGAAAGUAUGGGGAGAGGAGUAGAAAUCAUUGGUUAAUAUUUCAAAAUCUUAGCCUGCAACAAAUGUACCCAGAAAGUCCAUGCCAAGCAAUAUAAAUACUCUUAAAAGCAAAGCAAUAAUUCUGCUUAAAUUGGAGUAGGAAAUGAGGAAAAGCUGGAGAAAGCUCCCCAAGGAGGGUGAUGGUUGGACUGGACUUUGAAGACCACAUUUAUUUUGGCAAGACAGGGAAGGCAUUCUAUACAAAUCUGGCACAUGUGAAGACAGAGAGGCCACGUGUGCAUGGUACAUUGGCAGAAGUAAUGAAGCGUGGCAAAGGAGUAGCCAGGAGGGAGGCUGGGGCAAGGGUGAGAAAGUUCUUGAGUGUGCAACUUUCAGGAAGCUGAGGAAAGGAUGGAGAAGUCCUGACAGUCCUCUCACGGACAUCCCCACCUGGCCUCAGGUGUCUGUACAGCCCUUCACCGUGCUUGAUAAGCAACUGCCCAGUGCCGGCUACUCUGGAGAAGUCACGGGAGCCUACGCUGGCUCUGGGAGAGUGUACACUCCAGGCCACAGGGUUGCCCCGGCUCAUGGGCUCACUGUCUCCAGAGAGCUUGGCCCCUGGUGUCUUCUGGGAACAGCCCUUCUUGCUUAGGCCUUCAGCACACACCUAAGGAGGGAGAGAACUGCCAUCAGCAGACCUGGCUGCAGCAGACCUCUGGCUUCUCCCAGCCACGGCUUGCUAGAAGGAACUUCUUCUCAAGGUGUUUGCAGCUGCUCCUCUGGGCCCACCAUACUCUUUCUGCACCAUCUUGGCACUCAGCACUGUGUGUGCUCACCCAGACAUACACUGAGCUCUGAACUGUAUUUAGUCUUAGUCACAGUCCCAGUGUGGGAUUCCCUCCCCUGCCUACCCCACUCCACCCUUGGAAACAAGUGAAUGGGAGCCUUUCUCAUCUCUAGGGGGUGGAUCAAGACCCCCCUGCCCGGAGCAAGUGCGAAGAAUGCUGUGCCUGGGGAAGGAUUCUGGGGUGCGCCCUUUCCAAGCCUUCCUGCUUCCUCAAUGGAUCAUGAAUCUCAGUCCCCCAUCCUGGCAAGGGCUGCUUCCAGAGAGCGGAGAGAGAAGCUAUGUAGGUGGGAUCAUUACAGCCCUCAAGGAUGCACUCAAGCCAGUGAGGAGGAGGAAGACCACCGGACCACCCACGGAAUCAGGGAGCAUUCCUGAACCCCUUUCAUCCUCUAUUUGCAUAGAAAGUAAAGGGACCUGACCCAUAAUGAGGGGAAGAAGAAAAUGAGCCAAGCCAGUAACCCAUUUGUGUUAUGAGCACCCUCCUGGGCUCACAUGUCCUGAGCCCGGCACAGACCAGGGGAUGUCUGAACACAAGACGAGGAAAUUUGAGAAGAAGAAAUGAUGACAUUCAUCUGGAAGAGCAGAGAAGACUUCCUGAAGGAGAUAGCAUUUCUUCUGGGCCUCAUGGAUGUGCCUGACUUAAAAACGUGAAGCCAGGUCGGGGAGAGCAUUCUAGGUGGAAAAAGAGUCUCAUCUAAAUGAACGUGCUCGUCUCUCCAACAUUUUCCUUUUGUCUUUUCAGCUGCCUCAAAGCAGGACUGUGAUCUUCCCCCACCUUUCUCAUGGUGGGCCUUAGAACCUUAGGACCUUGCCCAGGGAGGGCCCCACCCUAUACACUGGGGGAAGGGACACUGACAUCAUGAAGCUUUCGUAAGAAGAUAGGGGGUUGGGAGGCCAAGGCGGGCAGAUCAUCUGAGGUUGGGAGUUCGAGACCAGCCUGACCGACAUGGAAAAACCCCAUCUCUACUAAAAAUACAAAAUUAGUAGGGCGUGGUGGUGUAUGCCUGUAAUCCCAGCUACUCAGGAGGCUGAGGCAAGAGAAUUGCUUGAACCUGGGAGGCGGAGGUUGUGGUGAGCCAAGAUCAUGCCAUUGCACUACAGCCUGGGUGACAAGAGUGAAACUGUGUCUCAAAAAAACACAAAAAUGACUCAGGGGACUAGGGUCAGAGAGCUUCCAGAUAGCUUGACAAGUGGAGAUUCCUAGAGGGUGUCCCAAGGAGGGCAUGGAAACUCUAUGCCCCCUCCCCCAUACCUAACCCUACACAUCUCCUCCUUUGUAAUGUCCUUUAUAACAGAUCAGCAAAUGUGAGUGUUGCCCUGAGUUCCGUGAGCUGCUCCAGCAAGUUAAUUGAACCUCAGGAGGGGAUCAUGGAAACCCCAACCUGAAGCCGGGUGAUCAGAAGUUCCAGAGACCUAGACUUGUGACUGGUAUUUGGGGGUAUGAGGGGCAGUCUUGGGCACUGAGCCCCCAGCCUGUGGGAUCUGACACAGUCUCCAGGUGGAUAGCAUCAGAAUUGACUUGGAGGAUACCCAGCCAGGGUCCACUGCUUGGUGUGUGAGGGGGAAAUUUUGGGCCACAGAAGCUUUCUGUGGGGGUGAUUGUUGCUGUGGCGGUGUGACAGCAGAGAAAGACACGGUGUGAAGAGAGUGUUCCCUACACAGAUACCAAAGUAAAACUUCAACUUUGGAUAUGAUUCACAGGUUUGAGACUCCAUAUGGGAAUUGAAACUAAGAUCCCCUGGGACUUGGAGCCCAGGAUCUGUUUUCCUUUUGGCGGAAGCUGUAAGUCCCCUGUGAGCUCUCUCAAGCACUUCCCUAGAUGCACACUCUCUCCUAUCACCACGUGUGAUGGCAUAGAUGACAGUAGGGGACUCACUGGGGAGGGCUCCAGAUCUCAGGCCUCAUGGGGAAACCAGGGAGAAGCUAAGUGACAGGGAGAGAUUGUGAAAGCUCCCAGAAGAUAAGCCCCACUCCUGAGCAAGGGCAGGAGAGAAAACCACGGGCCUGAAAGUCAGGGAGUUCUCAGGGGAGACAGAGAGCUAAGAUGAGACGGCAGCUGGUGGGAGGCAUGAGCAGAUGGUGUGCCUCGCUGCCAGAGACAGCACCGCGAUCGAGACAAAGACGCGUCCUGGAGAGAGGAGGAUGCCUCGCUGGCCCUUCUGCAGGAGUCCUUGGCCGAGCUGGGAAGACAGCCUUCUGGCAGGAAGUGGGAUUAAAAAAAAGGGAUACUGGCUUUCUCUAGUUUUCAUUCUUGGUAGAGUCAGGAAGCAAAGAGAGGGAUGGAGAGUGUCAAGAAUUGUAAUUGCUUUGUGUCAAGGUCAAGAAGGGUGCCUGUUGCACCAGAACCCCUCAGGUUGUCUUGCAGGAGAGGUGGGAGUGAAGGGAAUGAACGACCAGGACCAACCUGAGCUGGGAAGGCGAGAGGACUGGAGGGAGAUUAAGGCCAGUGGGCUGAAUGGUUAGGAGGCUUAUGUCAGCAUAUCUUUCAACAUGUGGAGUUAUGCCUUCAGGACUUAAGAUGCUAUUCUGAUGACGAUAUUACAGAAUUUUUAUAUAGCAGAUCUUUUUCUUUAUGAUUUCUCUUCCUAAGUUUAGAAAACCACUCCCUUCAAGAGGUUCGAUUCGUAUUUGAUUUUAUGUUCUCUUUGUCUGCUACGAUUUGUAAAAUUAAUUAUCUAAAAUCACUGGAAUUGAUUUUGGUGCAUAGAGUGAGGUGAGAAUCUCAUUUUAAAAAUAAGUAACUUAUUGAUUAAAAAACAUGAUUUAUCAUAAUAGCAGUAAUUAGGAAAAUAUGGAAACACUGAAAGAAGAAAAAAAAUCAUGUUCUCACCACCCAGAAAUCAUAAUUUUUAUAUGUUACCUUUCCUUUUUUGUCUAUAAUUUUACAUGAUUGUGAUCCUAUAAUAUAUACAGGGUUAUACAGGCUGAUUUUUAAAAUUGCAUCUAUAUUGAUAAAUGUAAUAUAUGUUUAUUAGAGAAAGUUUGGAAAAUACAUACAUUUAUGAAGCAGAAAAUGAAAUUCAGUUGUAUAUAUUUUCUUAAAGUAAUAAUACAAUAUAAUUUUUAUAGUUUAACGUUUUUCACAUCACCGAGAGCAUACAGUAUAUUCUGAACUUUAAGCAUUGUGGGUACAUAACAGAUUCUAGAUGGAAAAAAAGCAUGAAGCAGGACAUGGAAAUCAAUCAAUCAUCUACCUACCUACCUAUAAUCUAUAACUGAUCUAUAACUGAUCUAUAUCUGUAUCUAUGACGUCUGUGGUUUAUUAGCCCUUCCCAAAUAACAUAAUCAAUCCUCAGGUUACUCGAUGUGAUUUUUUUCAAAUGCUUUAGUAAUAUUUUAUUUCUCAAGGUGCAUACACAGUGUCUCUUGUAUUAAUACCCUUUUUUAGUAUUGCUGGUUUUAUAAUUAAAAUUUUGCAGUUAUUAAAAUGUGCUUAGUUUCUUUUAAACUUUUAAUCUGACAAUAAUUUCAAAUUUAUACAAAACAAAAAUAGAGUAAGGGACACUCCUGUAUCUUAAUUUAUUCAUUGAUAACAUUUUAAACCCAUUUGCUUUAUCAUGUUUUCUCUCUCUCCUUCUCCAAUAUUUUUCUGGGAAACAUUUGAAGGUAAGUUACAGAUCAUGGUCAUUUACCCCUAAAUACUUUGAUAUUUCCAAAGAAUAGAGAUAUUUUCUUACAUAACCCUGGUACAGUUGCCAAUUUCAUACACUUACAACUUGCAUUAUGUAAUAAUUUUAUCUAAUGUAUUGUCCAUAUUCCCAUUUUUUUCAGUUGCUUUAAUAAUGUCUUAACAGCAUCUUUCUCCUUCAGCACAGAAUCUAGUCUAGGGUCAAGUAUUGUGAUUAGUUGUCAUCACCCAGAACAUUUUCACAGCCUUUUUCUUGACUUUUAUGACGAUGACUUUUUUUUUGAGAAUGCAGUCCCUCCCACCUACCUUUUUAAACUAGGAUGAUACUCAUUUAUAUAAAUGCUCCGUUUUGAUUAAAUUAUGCCUAUGCCUUCACGGCCAGAAUACUGUAUUGGAGAUAUAGUGUCGUUUUCAGGGUAUCACAUUUGGAAGCACAUAAUGUUCACUGAUCCCUCAUAGCUGUGCUUAAUUUUGAUCAUUCUGUCAAGGUAUUAUCCUGUUUCUCCCACUACAGAAUUAGUUUCCUUUUUUCUUCAUUGCAGCUAAUAAGUGGCCUGUG